AACGAACGCUGGCGGCAGGCUUAACACAUGCAAGUCGAACGCCCCGCAAGGGGAGUGGCAGACGGGUGCGUAACGCGUGGGAACAUACCCUUUCCUGCGGAAUAGCUCUGGGAAACUGGAAUUAAUACUGCAUACGCCCUACGGGGGAAAGAUUUAUCGGGGAAGGAUUGGCCCGCGUUGGAUUAGCUAGUUGGUGGGGUAAAGGCCUACCAAGGCGACGAUCCAUAGCUGGUCUGAGAGGAUGAUCAGCCACAUUGGGACUGAGACACGGCCCAAACUCCUACGGGAGGCAGCAGUGGGGAAUAUUGGACAAUGGGCGCAAGCCUGAUCCAGCCAUGCCGCGUGAGUGAUGAAGGCCUUAGGGUUGUAAAGCUCUUUCACCGAUGAAGAUAAUGACGGUAGUCGGAGAAGAAGCCCCGGCUAACUUCGUGCCAGCCGCCGCGGUAACAC
rnacentral:rRNA from 1 species